rnacentral:rRNA from 1 species
CAGCCGCCACGGUAAUACAGAGGAUGCAAGCGUUAUCCGGAAUGAUUGGGCGUAAAGCGUCUGUAGGUGGCUUUUCAAGUCCGUCGUCAAAUCCCAGGGCUCAACCCUGGACAGGCGGUGGAAACUACCAAGCUGGGGUACGGUAGGGGCAGAGGGAAUUUUCGGUGGAGCGGUGAAAUGCGUUGAGAUCGGAAAGAACACCAACAGCGAAAGCACUCUGCUGGGCCGACACUGACACUGAGAGACGAAAGCCAGGGGAGCAAAUGGGAUUAGAUACCCGCGUAGUCCCUGUCUCUUAUAC